UACGUAGGGUGCGAGCGUUAAUCGGAAUUACUGGGCGUAAAGCGUGCGCAGGCGGUUCGUUGUGUCGGCGGUGAAAGCCCCGGGCUUAACCUGGAAUGGCCGUUGAAACUGGCGAACUGGAGUGUGGCAGAGGGGGGUGGAAUUCCGCGUGUAGCAGUGAAAUGCGUAGAGAGUGACGGAGGAACACGAUGGCCGAAGGCAGCCCCCUGGGCUGACACUGACGCUCAGGCGACGAAAGCGUGGGGAGCAAACAGG
rnacentral:rRNA from 1 species